UCCCUGAUGGUCUAGUGGCUAGGAUUUGGCGUUUUUCACCGCCGCGGCCCGGGUUCGAUUCCCGGUCAGGGAA
rnacentral:tRNA from 1 species